AAAUUCCCGCCUAUCCUCGAUGCUUAAAGGCGUCCUCAAGAUGCUUCGUUGCUUUUAGGCGUCGUUCAGGACACGUGCAGUGCAUGUGUUAUGUUAAAUAGCGCAUCACCUUAGGAAUGCUAUACAAGAAGCAAAACCGCCUACUCUAACUUCCCACUUCAGUACUCCACGCACACACGAACCCUAAUUCUUCACAAUUCAAUCUCAGUCUCAAAUCUAGCAUAAUUCACUGUUCAGUUCGUGUGCCCAGCAGGUAUGUCUCCGAUUCUUACCGUAUUUUUCUAUUUUUUUGUUUUUCAUUUCUUCGAUUUCUUCAUUAAAUUGUUCAUCUUCAACCUCCUAUCAGUCUUAAAGCAAUUGCGAAGAUUUUCGCGAAAUCGGAAUAUUUGACAACGAAUUUUUAGAAAUUUCAAUACAAGUCGUCAGUAGAUUUGUCUCGAAUGAUUGCCUUUUUCUGCAAUUAUGUAACAUUCUCAUCCGAUUUUCUAAUUUCCAUAAAAAUUCUGCAAUUUCACAUCGAAUUUCUUGAAAUUUCCAUGGAAGCUGCACACGACAACGAAAUUCUUUUGCUAGAUCUUAUUAAGUAGUUAGCGUUUUAAGGCUUCAAUUGGUGCUAAGGUCUGUGAAAUUCUUUAUGGGUUCUCUUUGUUUCUAUUAUAACUUCUCUAGACCCGUGUUAUAAAUUUUGUUUGGAAUAUCCUAGUCUUAUUUGGUCAUUAAUUGCUCAAUUAAGCCUUCGAUUAUUAUAAAUUUGCAUUAUUAGUUUAAAGUUGCGUAAUUAACCCUUCAAUUAGUAUGGCAAGAGGAGUUGAUAAAUAUCAAAUAAUAGUAUAACUUCAACUUAUCAUGAAAGAUUGGUUAUUACACUCCUGAGAUGAUUGAACCCCUCUCGCUGGAAGCUAACGAAGUGCCUAGUACAGGUGUUUGAUGUUUUAAUCUAAAUGCAUUACCAAGCUGAAUUGCUCUUCACAAAGAGAAGAAAGCAGAAAGGCUAUAAAGAGUUUGGCUGACAUGUGUGAGGUCAUGAGGACAAUUAAUUUUAGCUUUCAGAUGUUUUGAAUUAAAGGAGAUGAGCUCAGCUAUGAAGCAUGGGUACGCGUCUUUGGACCGAAUCCCGUACCGGGGACGGGGACAGGUCGGGGACGGGACGGGUACGCCCCAAAAACGUCCCCAAAACGAACCCGGGCUGGUGGGGACGGCGGGCUCAUAUGGGUAUGCCUUGGGUGUAGAGUGAAGACGUCUUGGGGACGGGUUUAGAGGCUACGAGAUGUCCCCAAGCAUUUUCUCUUUCUUCAUCUUCUUCACCUUCAUUCUUCUCCCUUCAUUUUUUUUCUUCUCUUUCUCUGCCAUUAGAAACCUUCAGCUGUUGUACUUUUCCCCCUUCUUGACCUCUGUUUUCUCUAUUCUGAUUUCUAGUUUCCCUCUCUAUUCUUUUGGUUUUAAAUUUCUGUCAUGACUCUCAAUAUGUCGACAUAUUUUACACCUUUUUCUUUCUUUUCUGAUAGAGUUUUUUCAGAAUGCAUGUGAUUGUUGUCCUUAUAUUAUAAAUAUAAUAUUCAAAUACUCUAUGAGAGAGAAUAGGAGAAGAGGAGAGACACCUCAUUCACAGCUAAAGCUAAUAUACAACUGUCGUCAACCCAUUAAAUCUUCCUCCCUUCCUUUUAAAAUUUUAAUUAUUACUCAUAAAACAUUUGAGCUCACCUCUAACUAAAGAAAAAUCGUAUAAUAUGUUUCUUAUUUUCUGAAUUUUGCUUCAACAUUAAUUAAAUUGUUCAUUCACCUAAAAGUUGUAUUUAAUUUAUGGUAGUGACUUAUAUAUGAAUAUUAAUUUAUAAAUUUCAUUUUUAUUUGCCCUCAAAAAAAAAUUAUUUUUAUUUUAUUUUUUGCUGAAUCCAAGCCGUACCCGUUUUCGAAAAUUUUGAUUUUGCCGUUUUCCGUCUCCGUACCCGCAUUCGUCCCCGUAUCCGUAUCCGUGCUACUUAUGAGCUGUAGUAUAACUUGAAAUAAGACUUAUUAAUCUAGUAUUAUAAUGAAGGUAUACUCAUAAGAGCUACGAGUGCAAAAAUGGUUGUCCCUCUUCUUAAAUAAAGCAACUCACCAAGCUUGGAGAGUAGUUGGUAUUUGGUACCAAUGAUUGUCGUUUUCGUUUGUGCUAAUAUAGAAACAUAUUUGAUUUUAAUUUAGACAACUUAUUAUGGGGAAUAAAACCUGCAUUUUGUAGCUGAAAGAUAUACUUUUUUUAUUGUCAUGCUUUUUUGAUUAUUUACUUGUAGAUAGCAUAUAUUGGCCAGUAUUCGUUGUAGCAACUUUGGCCGCAAUUGUUGCUAGUCAGGCAACCAUAUCUGCGACAUUUUCAAUUAUAAAGCAGGCUCUUGCUUUAGGCUGCUUUCCAAUAGUGAAGGUAGUACACACUUCAAAGAAAUUUCUUGGGCAAGUAUACAUUCCAGAUAUCAACUGGAUUCUUAUGAUCCUUUGCAUAGUUGUAAAUGCUGGAUUUAGGAACCAAAAUCAGAUUGGAAAUGCUUAUGGUUUUGAUAUUUUUCCUGGCUGGAGAAACCCAAAGUGGGAGAGGGAGGAUCACAUGCUUGUUGUAUUUUUAUUAAAAAAUUAAAGAGAUAAGCAGGCCGGAGUAUGCAUAUCGAACUGCGGGUUCUCCCCCAGAUAUUCCUCCAGAGUACUCGAAAAUAAUGAAGGUGCAACAUAUCAAGGACGGAUGGCUUCAAAGUAGCUACCAUCGUAUCGUCAUCUAUUUUGCUAGCGCGCUAGCUCUUAUUAGUUAGCUUAUUUUCGAGGUUACUUCACUUUGGAUAUUUUUAUUAAUUAGACUUAACUACAACAUACAAUUUGCUAUUAUGUUUAUAGAAAAAUACAUAUAUGGUUAGGAUUUUGGUGAAUAUGCAAUAUUUGUAGGGAUUUUAAUUAUCUUAGUAUAUAUACAUUUAUAAUAUAUUGAUCAAAGUAUUUUUUUUUUA